rnacentral:rRNA from 1 species
CCUACGGGAGGCAGCAGUGGGGAAUCUUGCGCAAUGGGCGAAAGCCUGACGCAGCGACGCCGCGUGAGGGAUGAAGGUCUUCGGAUCGUAAACCUCUGUCAGCAGGGAAGAACGGUCACUGUGCUAAUCAGCAGUGACUUGACGGUACCUGCCAAGGAAGCACCGGCUAACUCCGUGCCAGCAGCCGCGGUAAUACGGAGGGUGCGAGCGUUAAUCGGAAUUACUGGGCGUAAAGCGCUCGUAGGCGGUAUGUCAAGUCAAGGGUGAAAUCCCCGCGCUCAACGGGGGAACUGCCUUUGAAAACGGGAAACUGGAGGGUGUGAGAGGAUAGGGGGAUUCCAGGGGUAGGCGGGGAA